CUGUAUUGUUUGUACCCAGAAUUUAAGAGAUUAUCCUUGGGCUAAAAAAAAGAAAGUGUCACCCCUUCCACUUCACCAUCACCAUCUCAGGACACCCGCCACCUUCCCAUGUCAAAAGUUGGAGCCAGAAAGAUAAGGUGACAAUAAAGAUCACACUGAACUAGAACCCCAACCUAGCCCUGCAGACAUUAGCAACAUCAGACACCAAAGCCCACCACAUUUAAUUCCAGUAGAUUCGACAUAUACCUGAAUGCAAGCCCCAUAGGAGCAGGAAGCUUGUCUGUCACGUUCACCAUUGCAUCCUCAGUGCCUAAGAGCAUCACAGGGAUAAGGAAUUUAUUCUUUAAGGGAUUUCU
rnacentral:lncRNA from 1 species